GUUUACCUUUGGAUCAAGUACCACAAGAGGGCAACAGCAAGUAGCUUUUGCAGAAUCAACAAGAGGGCAGCAACAAGUUGCUUUUGCAGAGUCGACCAGAGGGCCACAACAAACAGCUUUUGCAGAGUCGACAAGAGGGCCACAGCAAGUAGCUUUUGUAGAGUCGACCAGAGGGCAACAGCAAGUAGCUUCUGUAGACUCGACAAGAGGGCAACAUCGAGUAGCGUCUAUGGAGUCGAGAAGAGAGCAACAAGAAGUAGUUUCUGUACAUCAGCAAGGUAAUAAGCAGGCACCACAAAGAAACGAGGGCUUGUUGGGGAACAAUCAAAAUUUCUCUGCUAGUACUAGUAGAAAUG
rnacentral:misc_RNA from 1 species